rfam:Capsicum annuum cultivar Zunla-1 chromosome 2, whole genome shotgun sequence
GGGCAUUUGGUCUAGUGGUAUGAUUCUCGCGUUGGGUGUGAGAGGUCCCGAGUUAGAUUCUUGGAAUGCCCC